UACGGGGGUGCGAGCGUUGUCCGGAAUCACUGGGCGUAAAGGGCGCGUAGGUGGUUUGAUAAGGGUGUGGUGAAAGUCCGGGGCUCAACCCCGGAUCUGCCGUGCCGACUGUCAAACUCGAGGGCUGUAGAGGCAGACGGAAUUCCGGGUGUAGCGGUGGAAUGCGUAGAGAUCCGGAGGAAGACCGGUGGCGAAGGCGGUCUGCUGGGCAGUUCUGACACUGAUGCGCGACACGUGGGGAGCAAAGCAGGGAGUUAGA
rnacentral:rRNA from 1 species